AGAACCCAGAUCCUGGGCAUGGCUGUCGAGCAAUUCGCCGAAGUGAAAGGGCCUCUCCAACUCGGAGCAGAGCGAGUCACCCGCCCUGGGAGACGUGACGGCCAGGAGAGCCGCACCUCGAGCUCUGGCUGGCGUCCAGCUUUCCUGGAGUUCAACCUGGGAAGGUUGGAGAAGACUUGAACCGAACCUGGAACUAAGAGUUGGUAGCUCCUGCCUGAGUGCAGGAGCCUCGGCCAAUUGCGGGGAACCACCAGCAGAAGACUUGGCGUUCACUCAGCUCUUGAUCUUACGGUUGCUCAUAGGAGCCUCUUAAUAUUGUAUCAAGUGGCAGUCAUCAAACGGAAAGAUCUAAAGAGCUUUGUAUCCAUCCUCCCUACAACUGUCAAUUAACUUCAUGAUGAAGAGGAAUCCAUAUCAAGAGGUGAAAGCUGGUGCUGUCAUCAGAGUCUUGGAUGGGUAUAUAUUGUCCUGAAAUUGAAACCUGUACUACCCACAGUUACUAACUCAAUAAAUUCUGUUUUUACCUUA